AAAACACUGUACGGAAGGCAAUGCAAAGGAUGAAGAAAAGGGUGUUUAAAAAGAAGUGUCUUGCCAAAAACCAGGAACUGCCAGAUUGACUACUACCAGUAGUCAGUUCGGAACUAGUUACUGGUAACUAGGUCAGAGCUAGCUACAGGUAAUCGAAGGGUAGUCAAGUGGGGAACUAGUUGCUGGCUUUCUACUCGUAACUAGUUCGGAACUACCUCCUGAGCUACGGGUAAUCGAAGGGUAAUCGAGCGGGAACCAGGGGUGGUUCCGCCCUAGGACAUGCAUGUGUUAAAUUCUCCGCUGAAAUACAUUGCGGGUAAUCGAUCUGGAACCAGGGAGGUGAGAAUGGUAGCUAGUGCGGCACCAGUGCGGAACUAGUUGCCUGGUACUAGAGGGCUAGAACUGAAAUUUGAGUUUGGUUCUUGUUUUGGGUCUUUAAGGUAAAAACCGAAACUAGAGCCCGCUGGACCGGAGUCAUCAUCACGUUUGUUUUUGGAAAAAGUCUUCCGAAUUUUCAAAUUUCACAAACCUAUUUAACAUGGAUUCUGCCAAUAUUGCCAAAAUAAAUGAGUACAUUCCAGUCAUUUAUGCAUCUUAGAAAAAAAAAGGAACUAGAUCAUCAAAUGGACCCAAUUUUAAAUAAAAUCUUCCGAAACAUAGCGGAAAUGUUGGCUCUAUAAAGGCAAAUGUUCGUG